AAUAAAAAAGACUCCAAAUGCAACAAUGUAAAUCCAGUAUUUUUGGAAAAAGGUUUUCUCAUUUUCUGUUGAUUCCUGUUUUUCUUUCUUUUCGAUUUCGAUCUC
rnacentral:ribozyme from 13 species